UUGUCUUUUGCGUACCGUAUGUUUCCUCGGCGGGCUUGCCUGCCGGUUGGACAUUAUCAAACCUUUUUGUAGUUGCAAUCAGCGUCAGAAAAUAAACAAUAAUUACAACUUUCAACAACGGAUCUCUUGGUUCUGGCAUCGAUGAAGAACGCAGCGAAAUGCGAAAAGUAGUGUGAAUUGCAGAAUUCAGUGAAUCAUCGAAUCUUUGAACGCACAUUGCGCCCCUUGGUAUUCCAUGGGGCAUGCCUGUUCGAGCGUCAUUUUGUACCCUCAAGCACUGCUUGGUGUUGGGCGUUUGUCCUGCAAAGGACUCGCCUGAAAGCGAUUGGCGGCCAACGUACUGGUGGUAGAGCGCAGCACAAUUUGCGUCUCUCCCUUCUACGUCGGCGUCCAUGAAGCCUUUUUUCAACGUUUGACCUCGGAUCAGGUAGGGAUACCCGCUGAACUUAAGCAUAUCAAUA
rnacentral:rRNA from 1 species